GAAUAUAACCCUUCCAUCCAAAAACUGUACACAAACCAAAUCAAUAGUUAAUACAAGUUGGCAAACUUUUUAUUUGAAACGAACCCUUUCUUGUUCUCAACCGACGAGCGUGAGAGUAAUGUGUUACCUUUCCGUGCAUCCCUUCAAUAGCUUUCAUUGACUCCUCCUCUGUUUCAUACCGCAGGAAAGCAAACCCUCUUGGUCUAUUUGCUACUUUAUCCAUCACCAAGUUAACUAAAAGGAGACAAUCAAGAAAAUGAAUUACAUUUUGAGUUUUCUUACCUGAUCAUCGUACAUGGUAACUAAACAGACACCUAAUAAAAAAGAUCUGACGAAGAAGUUGAACAAGGGAGGGGGUUAUGGGUUACCAAGUGUGAGCUUACCAAACUGUUCAAAAGCUUUUCUUUAGUUAUCUUCAGUUGUGCGGAAAGAAAGCCCUGUGCAUAAUAAAACCAUCAAACCCCUUGUUAUAUGAAGUUCAAGUCUUAUACGGUAAAGGUAGAGAGACAAACUAGGCAUCAAAAGGUGGUAGAAAGCUAGCAAGUAACAAGAAAAAACAGAAGAGAGCAUUAAGACUCUUUUGGCCAUUUCUGAACACCACUAAUUAACUUGCAAUAAUCCCCUUUACAUAAAGCUUAACAGCAGCAGAAAGAUGUAUCUAUCUCCCCAGUUCAUCAGAACAUAUACCAAUUAAAAAAAACAUUCUUCUUAAUUUUUAAACUAAGGAUGUCUAGGCCAAAGGCCAACUAAAUCGUAUAAGAGACCGGUACCCGGCACCAAGUUUACUAAAUGAAACCUAAGACAUGGUCUCAUGCUCGUUUGGCCAAAUAAUAGCAACUUAGCCCCAAGUUUGUUAGUCUUUUUUUGGUAAAAUAAAAGGUGGUUUCACCUCUUUGCCCGGAACCCAAGCAUUUUAAAUAGUCCCUCCCACUGUGAAUUGAAUCCGAGUGGCGGUAGUUACAGUCGUAACCCUUUUACCACUAGGCCAACUCAACGUUAGUAAGUUUGUUAGUUUUGUCAAACAAUAGCAACUUAAUUCCUAGCCGGAAUCAAACCCAUGAGAGAUAUUUUACUCAAUGCCCACCAGGCUGCCACCUGCAUGGUUAAAAACAAUAAUUUGAUUUGGGUGCUACUCGGGCUUGUAAUCGUAUUCCCGUUUUCAUGUUGAUUUAAUAUAUUUGAAUUUAAAAAAAAAAAAAAAACAGAUAGAUUCCCUCGCCCAGAGAAUCUCUAGAAAAAACACUAGUCAUGUUCAACUAAACAGCAAAGAAUAAUAACGUACAAUGUGUCCACAGGACCAUAACCACAUUUAGUUCCCUACAGAAGUAUCAUUCAUGAAUUUGAGAUUAAGCAAAAGAUGAAAGAAUC